UGAGAGCUGAAAGACCAGAGAACUGAGGUAAGGGAGACCCUCCCCCAGUGCCUAAGGACUGAAGGUUCCCCACCCAAGGGGGAAACAGCUGCAGCAUCGAUCAUUAUUUGUCAUCAGAGUGCUUGUAUCUGGCAGUGGUGGAUGAGAGUACAGUAACUAUGGACUAACAGACUUUGGAAAUGUGACUUGCAUCAAGAGGGUGCACAGAGAAUCUUGCUGAGAGGCUAAACCUCACAUGGAAGGAGGACUACUUGUGCGAUGAAAGACUGCUUAUCGAGCAGAUGUGGGUCACUUGCCAGGAUUAUCUGGGUGUAUAAAUCCCCAAUGACUGAAGGAUAGCCCUGGAGUCUUUGAAUGUGUGAAGCGAUGUGUCUGUCAUUUCUGCAAAUAAUUUGGUGCCUUUGAAGGGAAAGUUCUCCAUGGUUGUCUGUAAUUCCUUGGGGAAGCCAGAUAAAUGAGGCCAAGAGGCUCAUCACAUCACAAUUUCUAUGAGAUAGAUCAUGCCAUGGUAUCGGCUGCAUCAAGCGCCGAUUGAAGUGCCGUCUUGGGCUCCAGUUGUCCUUCAUUAAUAAUGGCCCUAAACUGAGCCUUGUGUGAUUCCAGAAGCUGAUCAAUAAACAAAUUGCGUUUGG